rnacentral:rRNA from 1 species
GACGAACGCUGGCGGCGUGCUUGACACAUGCAAGUCGAACGGAAAGGCCCUGCUUUUGUGGGGUGCUCGAGUGGCGAACGGGUGAGUAACACGUGAGUAACCUGCCCUUGACUUUGGGAUAACUUCAGGAAACUGGGGCUAAUACCGGAUAGGAGCUCCUGCUGCAUGGUGGGGGUUGGAAAGUUUCGGCGGUUGGGGAUGGACUCGCGGCCUAUCAGCUUGUUGGUGGGGUAGUGGCUUACCAAGGCUUUGACGGGUAGCCGGCCUGAGAGGGUGACCGGCCACAUUGGGACUGAGAUACGGCCCAGACUCCUACGGGAGGCAGCAGUGGGGAAUAUUGCACAAUGGGCGGAAGCCUGAUGCAGCAACGCCGCGUGCGGGAUGACGGCCUUCGGGUUGUAAACCGCUUUCGCCUGUGACGAAGCGUGAGUGACGGUAAUGGGUAAAGAAGCACCGGCUAACUACGUG